ensembl:snRNA U7 U7 small nuclear RNA
UAGCGUUAUAGCUCCUUUAGAAUUUGUCUAGCAGGGUUUCUGGUUUUUGCUGGAAAGCCCCC